GGUGUGUGUCCAACAGAAAGGUUUUGUGAAGACUACAGGUUAGAGAGAAGGGGUUGUAACUGCUGGGAUUCUCUGGAGGAUUGGUUUGAAAGAGGUGUGUGUCCAACAGAAAGGUUUUGUGAAGACUACAGGUUAGAGAGAAGGGGUUGUAACUGCUGGGAUUCUCUGGAGGAUUGGUUUGAAAGAGGUGUGUGUCCAACAGAAAGGUUUUGUGAAGACUACAGGUUAGAGAGAAGGGGUUGUAACUGCUGGGAUUCUCUGGAGGAUUGGUUUGAAAGAGGUGUGUGUCCAACAGAAAGGUUUUGUGAAGACUACAGGUUAGAGAGAUGGGGUUGUAACUGCUGGGAUUCUCUGGAGGAUUG